UGCGCAGGGCGUGUUUCAGCACGAUCUCAGAGAACUUCACGCCCUUAAGCCGCGCUGUGCGGAUAUAUUGCGCGGUCAUCACCUCGGUCAUCGAGGCCCGCGUCAUCCGCGCGAUAUAGCCCAUGCCGUAGAGCGAGAUGGUCAGCACCGGCAGGAAGAAGUUCCAAAAAUUUGCGUCUUUC
rnacentral:ncRNA from 1 species